AUCGCUUCUCGGCCUUUUGGCUAAGAUCAAGUGUAGUAAAAGUUUAAGCAAAUUUAGGUCUAGUGCCCUCC
rnacentral:snRNA from 1 species